rnacentral:rRNA from 1 species
UUCAGGGGUAAACCUGAGAAACCCGAAAGGUCGAAAGGGGAAAUUCAUUCGCGUUUCGACCGUCGGAGCCGAGCGAUCGAGUGACGGACGGCGUACGCGUCGACCGCGCCUUUCGUUCGGCGAUUCGGCGUCGAACGCGUGCACUUUUCCCCUAGUAGGACGUCGCGAUCCGUUGGGCGUCGGUUUAAGGUAUGUGCGGUGGAGACCGGACGAGCGUCAUCCGGCGUCUCGUUCGGACCCGUGAUAUCCCAACCGACUCGCUCGACGGUAUACAGAUGGCGCGGGGCCGCUACUUCUCAGUUAGCGUUCGGCCCGCGGCAAGCGCGUUCGAUAGGACGGCGAUCGGACCUGGUGCCGGUUCCGUCCCCGGACGACUGUUGGCCGCGGUGUUCUCGAACAGACCUCGAAUCUUGAAACGCCGAUCUGCGACGCUAUAGCUUUGGGUACUUUCAGGACCCGCGCACCAAGGAGUGCAGCAUGUGCGCGAGUCAUUGGGACAUAAUUAAACCUAAAGGCGCAAUGAAAGUGAAAGUUCGUCUCGCACGAACCGAGGGAAGAUGGGCGGCGUCGUACUUCCUUGCGGCCGCUCCUCAUUCCUGGGGCGUCUCCUUCUCAUCGUCAGAAGAAGCGCACCACCAGC